CCACCCAAUGCUCCGCCUACGCCUGACUCAAGGUUGCCUGCCGAGGCGGCGCCGCUGAUCAAGGUAAGAGACAACAACAGUAUCGAGGAAUACUUCAUGUAUGGAAUCUCAUAGGGAUGACGGCGCGAUCUUGGUGUCAAGUGAAGAACGUAGCAAUGUAAAUCCGACGAGUAACACGAUUGCAACACAACUUGCUAAGUUAUUGUUUUAGCUAAGGAACUUAAGUAGCCGCUGAUUUAUUCUAAAAUCCAGCUGUUGCCCCCAGACAAAUCAAGGCCUCCAGAGCGUUGCCGGGACGAAAAAUCGAAUAAAUCAGCGGCUCCUUAAGUCGGGAAAGACAGUCUCAGGUUACUUGUGAAAGGCCCGUUUCGAGAGAGACGGGCCUU
rnacentral:sRNA from 1 species